UAGCAUUUUUCAUGCGAAAAGGAGCAGACUGUUUGAGCAAGUGGGUCGGGGAGUCAGAAAGGCAGCUGAGGCUGCUCUUUGAUCAGGUAAGGUAACCAACUAAUUCAAGUGCUCUUUUUCUUUUUCUUUUUCUUUUUCUCUUUCUUUUUCUUUUUCUUUUUCUUUUUCUUUUUCUUUUUCCUUUUCUUUUUUCUUUUCUUUUUCCUUUUCUUUUCUUUUUCUUUUUCUUUUUCCUUUUCUUUUCUUUUCCUUUUUCUUUUUCUUUUUCUUUUUCUUUUAAAAAAAGAAUAUUUUUGGGCUUGAGAGAUGGCUAAGUGGUUAAGAGCACUGACUGUUCUUCCAGAGGUCCUGAGUUCAAUUCCCAGCAACCACAUGGUGGCUCAUGACCAUCCAUAAUGAGAUCUGAUGCCUUCUUCUGGUGUGUCUGAAGACAGCUACAGUGUACUCAUAUAAAAUAAAUAAAUAAAUCUUAAAAAAUACUAUAUUUUGUUUGUAGAUACAGUUAUGAGGGGACAUAUAUUUCAAUUAAGAGUAUGAAAUUUGGGGGCUGGUGAGAUGGCUCAGUGGGUAAGAGCAUUGACUGCUCUUCCUAAGGUCCUGAGUUCAAAUCCUAGCAACCGCAUGGUGGCUCACAACCACCCAUAACGAGAUCUGACGCCCUCUUCUAGCGCUUCUGAAGACAGCUACAGUGUACAUACAUAUAAUAAUAAAUCUUAAAAAAAAAGAGUGUGAAAUUUAGGAUUAGUAGUUGUAAGCCAUACUUACCCUCUGUUAUUUGUGGGAAACUGAUUCUAGCAGUCCCCAGGAUUCCAAAAUCUGCAGAUGUUUUCGUCUAAUAAAUAAAAUAGUAAAGGAUUUAAAUAUAGCUUAUAUACAUCUUUAUGUAUGCUUAAUGACAUUUCUACAUUCUUAUAAUAUCUCAUGCAAUAUAUUUAUUAUAUAAACAGUGUGAGCAGAUGUGUCCAACCUUUUGAUUUUGCAAGAACAUGUUGUUUUCUCCAGAACCAGACAAUUGAACUUAAAAAAAAUACACAAAAAUAUAUCAUAACUUUUUAAGUAAAUUUAUAAUCUUGGUUUGGACUGUAUUCAUAGAUAAGGGACACAUGGGCCAUAGACUGGGCACAUCUGUUACUUUAAGUAAAGACAAGGAAAAAAUCUUUGUACAUGUUUGUACAGAUGCAAGAUUACAAACCAUUUUUGGUGUGCGUGAUUGAAGCUGCAUGAAGUGUGCAGAGCUCGCAGAGGUGAAUCUCCUUACACUUAGGCCCACGUCCUAGGACUCUGAGGAUGAUGAUGGUGAUCCACAAAGCACCUGCUGUGGUUGACUGUUAGUCUCACUGGAAACCUGGGAUGGAAAGUAAUCGUAGAUUAUAGUGUUACUGAGGAAAUGGCACACAUAGAAAAUGUUAAAUAUUUGUGGGAGGAAUCUUAUAAAACCCUAUGCUAUUUACUGUCAUAGUUGUAUUGUAGAUGCUUUCCUGUCACUAUAGUAAGUGCUUGGGCCAGUUUCCUAGGUGGAGAACAAGUACAUCUGCUCUCAUGUUUGCUGGUCUUAGCCUCGAUUAGUACCUUGCUAACAAAGUACAUGAUGCUGGAGCAAAUGUCAGAACAAAACUUCUCACAUUAUAGUUCAUUAGUCGGAAAGGAAAGGUGAAAUAGUAGGCCAGACCUAUGACACAUGGCCUCCUGAACAUUGUACCACCUUUUAAUCUAAGUGCUACCCUAAUGGUUCAGAAAUUUAAAAAAUGAAUGUUUGAGAUAUACUUACUCAGACCAUGCUAGAUUGUAAACACGUGAUUUGUGGAAUUCAGAAAUGAAGGAAUGCUUUGAAAGUGCAGCAUGAGAUAAAUGAGUAGCUAACUGUAACGGCUACUUUUAAAGUGUUAUUUUCCCAAACAGAGAGAACAUGGUAGUAUGCAAUUGUCCCAGAUAUUUUUAUUAUUAUCAGUGUGUGUUUAAGGCCUGAGUUCAAUCCCCGGAAUCACAACAAAUAAACCUAACAGUGAAAGAGUCCCCGUCCUGCCCCUGAGGUGAGAGGAUCACUAGCACUUGGUCAGGUGGCAUAGGAGGGUGCUGUGAGCUUCCAGCUGCCUGAGCUAGUGAGUGAGAACCUGUCUCAAAAACAAGCAAAUCCCAGCUUUCCUGUACU
rnacentral:lncRNA from 1 species